GCAUUUCCAGAUUGGGGCUCGGGCUGCGCCUCCUCCGGGACCCUCCCCUUGGACCGAGCCGAUCGCCGCGGGGCAGUUCGGGCCGGCUGUCCUGGCGCGGUGAAGGUGAUAAAGUAAAGUGCUUUCACUGUGGAGGAGGGCUAACUGAUUGGAAGCCCACUGAAGACCCUUGGGAACAACAUGCUAAAUGGUAUCCAGGGUGUAAAUAUCUGUUAGAACAGAAGGGACAAGAAUAUAUAAACAAUAUUCAUUUAACUCAUUCACUUGAGGAGUGUCUGGUAAGAACUACUGAGAAAACACCAUCACUAACUAGAAGAAUUGAUGACACCAUCUUCCAAAAUCCUAUGGUACAAGAAGCUAUACGAAUGGGUUUCAGUUUCAAGGACAUUAAGAAAAUAAUGGAGGAAAAAAUUCAGAUAUCUGGGAGCAACUAUAAAUCACUUGAGGUUCUGAUUGCAGAUCUAGUGAAUGCUCAGAAAGACAGUACGCAAGAUGAGUCAAGUCAGACUUCAUUACAGAAAGAGAUUAGUACU
rnacentral:sRNA from 1 species